AUGAAUGUGCUUGCCUGGAACUGUCGAGGCUUGGGGUUGGACUCGACAGUUGGCGAACUUCGCGACCUGAUUAGGUCCCACAACCCAGCGGUGGUUUUUUUAAGUGAAACGAAGAAGAGUGCAAGAGCUAUGGAGAAGCUGAAGUGGAGUAUGGGGUUCAGGAGUGGAGUGGCUGUCAGUUGUGUGGGCAGAAGCGGUGGCCUCGCGAUGUGGUGG
rnacentral:rRNA from 1 species